CUCCACCUGUCGCCCCGGAUCAGCCUGCCCCACCGGCUGCAGUUCAUCCCGAUUUGCGGGUGCCAGCUCAUGCACCAUUCGCAAGAUACACCGUCGAGGAUUUGCUUGCCCAGCCCGGACGAGAGGGUUUACACGUUCUGGACCCCGAUAGACCCCCGGGUACUUAUUGGUUUGGGGCUAACAACCGUGUUAGCCGGAGCGUUUCAGAGACGAUGAAGGGAUAUUAUGACGGCCCUUAUCCCAACUGGACCAUGACUCCCGAUCACGUCAAGACGACGUGGUUUAAAUGUUUUGCGGUAAUUAUAUUUACAUAUUAUUAAUAUUUAUAUUGUUAAUUAAAUAAUUAUUUUUUUUUUUUCUAAUCUUUUAAAAUGUUUGUUUUUUCAGCAAAGGUGGAACUGGUCCGUAGGAAUCACCGAGAGGGUGAAGAGCGAAUUUAUUGCAAAGGCGAAAACUCGUCUUUGCAACACCGUCUCCGAUUGGAAGGACAAGUGGGAGAUUUACGGCUAUGAGGGGAAGCCGAGCGGGGUCACAAAGGAAGCAUGGGAUGGCCUCAUCACCUAUUGGAACGAACCCAGCUCCAUCCGCAAAGCCAACUCCUGCUCCGCUUCCC